rnacentral:rRNA from 1 species
AGCCUGAACGCUGGCGGCGUGGCUAAGUCAUGCAAGUCGCACGGGCCGUAGCAAUACGGUCAGUGGCGAACGGGUGAGUAAAGUGUCGCUAACGUGCCCCGGACUCCGGGAUAGCUAUCCGAAAGGGUAGGUAAUACCGGUUAACAUACUUAGGAGGCAUCUCCUGAGUCUCAAAGGUCCGCCGGUCCGGGAGCGGGCUACGAUACGGACUCAAGUCUAGUUGGUGAGGUAACGGCUCACCAAGGCGACGACGCGUAGCGGGACUGAGAGGUCGGCCCGCACAUCGGGGACUGAGACACUGCCGGACUCC